rnacentral:rRNA from 1 species
UACGGAAGGUCCAGGCGUUAUCCGGAUUUAUUGGGUUUAAAGGGAGCGUAGGCCGGAGAUUAAGCGUGUUGUGAAAUGUAGAUGCUCAACAUCUGAACUGCAGCGCGAACUGGUUUCCUUGAGUACGCACAAAGUGGGCGGAAUUCGUGGUGUAGCGGUGAAAUGCUUAGAUAUCACGAAGAACUCCGAUUGCGAAGGCAGCUCACUGGAGCGCAACUGACGCUGAAGCUCGAAAGUGCGGGUAUCGAACAGG